rnacentral:sRNA from 17 species
CACCGAGUCCGAGGCUCCGGAAGUGGCCGGAGCCUGGUGCAAGAGGGA